GUCGAGAAUCUUUCACAAUGGGGGCAACCCUGAUGGAGCGACGCCGCGUGGAGGAUAAGGUCUUCGGAUUGUAAACUCCUGUCAUGCGUGAACAAGGUUGCUUGGUUAAUACCUGGGCAAAUUGAUGGUAACGCAAGAGGAAGAGACGGCUAACUCUGUGCCAGCAGCCGCGGUAAUACAGAGGUCUCAAGCGUUGUUCGGAAUCACUGGGCGUAAAGGGUGCGUAGGUGGCGUGGUAAGUCAGAUGUGAAAGCCCGGGGCUCAACCUCGGAAGUGCAUCCGAUACUGCCAUGCUAGAGUACUGGAGAGGUGACUAGAAUUCUCGGUGUAGCAGUGAAAUGCGUAGAUAUCGAGAGGAAUACCAAAGGCGUAGGCAGGUCACUGGACAGUUACUGACACUGAGGCACGAAGGCCAGGGGAGCGAACGGGAUUAGAUACCCCUGUAGUCC
rnacentral:rRNA from 1 species